rnacentral:rRNA from 1 species
UGCAAGUCGAGCGGAUGACGAGGAGCUUGCUCCUCUGAUUCAGCGGCGGACGGGUGAGUAACACGUGGGCAACCUGCCUGCAAGAUCGGGAUAACUCCGGGAAACCGGGGCUAAUACCGGAUGGUUCCUUCCUCCGCAUGGAGGAAGGCGGAAAGACGGUUUCGGCUGUCACUUGCAGAUGGGCCCGCGGCGCAUUAGCUAGUUGGUGGGGUAAUGGCCCACCAAGGCGACGAUGCGUAGCCGACCUGAGAGGGUGAUCGGCCACACUGGGACUGAGACACGGCCCAGACUCCUACGGGAGGCAGCAGUAGGGAAUCUUCCGCAAUGGACGAAAGUCUGACGGAGCAACGCCGCGUGAGCGAAGAAGGCCUUCGGGUCGUAAAGCUCUGUUGUAAGGGAAGAACAAGCAUCGGUUAACUGCCGGUGCCCUGACGGUACCUUACCAGAAAGCCACGGCUAACUAC